ACAAGCAGCGGAGCGUUGUGGUUUAAUUCGAUGCUACACGAAGAACCUUACCAGGGUUUGACAUGCAAGUGGUAGGAACCGAAAGGUGACCGACCCUUCGGGGAGCUUGCACAGGUGCUGCAUGGCUGUCGUCAGCUCGUGUCGUGAGAUGUUGGGUUAAGUCCCGCAACGAGCGCAACCCUCGCCUUUAGUUGCCAGCAUUCAGUUGGGCACUCUAGAGGGACUGCCGGUGUCAAACCGGAGGAAGGUGGGAUGACGUCAAGUCCUCAUGGCCUUUAUGUCUAGGGCUACACACGUACUACAAUGGCCGGUACAAAGGGCAGCCACUCAGCGAUGAGGCGCUAAUCCCAUAAAGCCGGUCUCAGUCCGGAUCGCAGUCUGCAACUCGACUGCGUGAAGUUGGAAUCGCUAGUAAUCGUAGAUCAGCAUGCUACGGUGAAUACGUUCCCGGGCCUU
rnacentral:rRNA from 1 species